GACGAACGCUGGCGGCGUGCCUAAUACAUGCAAGUAGAACGCUGAAGGAGGAGCUUGCUCUUCUGGAUGAGUUGCGAACGGGUGAGUAACGCGUAGGUAACCUGCCUGGUAGCGGGGGAUAACUAUUGGAAACGAUAGCUAAUACCGCAUAACAGCAGAUGUUGCAUGACAUUUGCUUAAAAGGUGCAAUUGCAUCACUACCAGAUGGACCUGCGUUGUAUUAGCUAGUUGGUGGGGUAACGGCUCACCAAGGCGACGAUAUAUAGCCGACCUGAGAGGGUGAUCGGCCACACUGGGACUGAGACACGGCCCAGACUCCUACGGGAGGCAGCAGUAGGGAAUCUUCGGCAAUGGACGGAAGUCUGACCGAGCAACGCCGCGUGAGUGAAGAAGGUUUUCGGAUCGUAAAGCUCUGUUGUAAGAGAAGAACGAGUGUGAGAGUGGAAAGUUCACACUGUGACGGUAUCUUACCAGAAAGGGACGGCUAACUACGUGCCAGCAGCCGCGGUAAUACGUAGGUCCCGAGCGUUGUCCGGAUUUAUUGGGCGUAAAGCGAGCGCAGGCGGUUAGAUAAGUCUGAAGUUAAAGGCUGUGGCUUAACCAUAGUACGCUUUGGAAACUGUUUAGCUUGAGUGCAAGAGGGGAGAGUGGAAUUCCAUGUGUAGCGGUGAAAUGCGUAGAUAUAUGGAGGAACACCGGUGGCGAAAGCGGCUCUCUGGCUUGUAACUGACGCUGAGGCUCGAAAGCGUGGGGAGCAAACAGG
rnacentral:rRNA from 1 species